CAAAGCGUAACGGAGGAGUUCGAAGGUACGCUAGGUACGGUCGGACAUCGUGCUAAUAGUGCAAUGGCAUAAGCGUGCUUAACUGCGAGACCGACAAGUCGAGCAGGUACGAAAGUAGGUCUUAGUGAUCCGGUGGUUCUGUAUGGAAGGGCCAUCGCUCAACGGAUAAAAGGUACGCCGGGGAUAACAGGCUGAUGACCCCCAAGAGUCCAUAUCGACGGGGUCGUUUGGCACCUCGAUGUCGGCUCAUCACAUCCUGGG
rnacentral:rRNA from 1 species